GCUCAGUGGUAGAGUGCAUGCUUAGCAUGCAUGAGGUCCUGGGUUCAAUCCCCAG
rnacentral:tRNA from 1 species